rnacentral:rRNA from 1 species
ACGGGAGGCAGCAGUGGGGAAUAUUGGGCAAUGGGCGAAAGCCUGACCCAGCGACGCCGCGUGAGGGAAGAAGGUCUUCGGAUUGUAAACCUCUUUCAGCAGGGAAGAAGCAUGACGGUACCUGCAGAAGAAGUCACGGCUAACUACGUGCCAGCAGCCGCGGUAAUACGUAGGUGGCGAGCGUUAUCCGGAAUUACUGGGUGUAAAGGGUGUGUAGGCGGGGAAGCAAGUCAGGCGUGAAAUACACGGGCUCAACCCGUGAACUGCGCUUGAAACUGUUUUUCUUGAGAGUGGGAGAGGUAAACGGAAUUCCUGGUGUAGUAGUGAAAUGCGUAGAUAUCAGGAGGAACGCCGGUGGCGAAGGCGGUUUACUGGACCACAACUGACGCUGAGACACGAAAGCGUGGGGAGCAAACAGGAUUAGAUACCCUGGUA